GACGAGCGCUGGCGGCGUGCUUAACACAUGCAAGUCGAACGGAAAGGCCCUGCUUUUGUGGGGUGCUCGAGUGGCGAACGGGUGUGUAACACGUGAGUAACCUGCCCUUGACUUUGGUAUAACUUCAGGAAACUGGGGCUUAUACCGGAUAGGAGCUCCUGCUGCAUGGUGGGGGUUGGAAAUUUUCGGCGGUUGGGGAUGGACUCGCGGCUUAUCAGCUUGUUGGUGGGGUAGUGGCUUACCAAGGCUUUGACGGGUAGCCGGCCUGGGAGGGUGACCGGCACAAUGGGGACUGGGAUACGGCCCAGACUCUAAGGGGAGGAAGAGGUGGGGAAUAUUGAAAAAUGGGGGGAAGCCUGAGGAAGCAACGCCGGGGGGGGGAUGACGGCCUUCGGGUGGUAAACCGCUUUCGCCUGGGAGGAAGUGUGAGUGACGGUAAUGGGUAAAGAAGCACCGGCUAACUACGUG
rnacentral:rRNA from 1 species